rnacentral:rRNA from 1 species
GAUGAACGCUGGCGGCGUGCCUAAUACAUGCAAGUCGAGCGAACAGACGAGGAGCUUGCUCCUCUGACGUUAGCGGCGGACGGGUGAGUAACACGUGGAUAACCUACCUAUAAGACUGGGAUAACUUCGGGAAACCGGAGCUAAUACCGGAUAAUAUAUUGAACCGCAUGGUUCAAUAGUGAAAGACGGUUUUGCUGUCACUUAUAGAUGGAUCCGCGCCGCAUUAGCUAGUUGGUAAGGUAACGGCUUACCAAGGCAACGAUGCGUAGCCGACCUGAGAGGGUGACCAGGCACACUGGAACUGAGACACGGGCCAGACUCCGACGGGAGGCAGCAGUAGGGAAUCUUGCGCAAUGGGCGAAAGCCUGACGGAGCAACGCCGAGUGAGUGAUGAAGGUCUUCGGAUCGUAAAACUCUGUUAGUAGGGAAGAAGAAAUGUGUAAGUAACUAUGCACGUCUUGACGGUACCUAAUCAGAAAGCAACGGCUAACUACGUG